AGGAAGGAUCCGAGCGUUAUCCGGAUUUAUUGUGUUUAAGGGAGCGUAGGUGGACUGGUAAGUCAGUUGUGAAAGUUUGCGGCUCAACCGUAAAAUUGCAGUUGAUACUGUCAGUCUUGAGUACAGUAGAGGUGGGCGGAAUUCGUGGUGUAGCGGUGAAAUGCUUAGAUAUCACGAAGAACUCCGAUUGCGAAGGCAGCUCACUGGACUGCAACUGACACUGAUGCUCGAAAGUGUGGGUAUCAAACAGGAUUAGAUACCCUGGUAGUCCACACAGUAAACGAUGAAUACUCGCUGUUUGCGAUAUACAGUAAGCGGCCAAGCGAAAGCAUUAAGUAUUCCACCUGGGGAGUACGCCGGCAACGGUGAAACUCAAAGGAAUUGACGGGGGCCCGCACAAGCGGAGGAACAUGUGGUUUAAUUCGAUGAUACGCGAGGAACCUUACCCGGGCUUAAAUUGCAGAUGAAUUACGGUGAAAGCCGUAAGCCGCAAGGCAUCUGUGAAGGUGCUGCAUGGUUGUCGUCAGCUCGUGCCGUGAGGUGUCGGCUUAAGUGCCAUAACGAGCGCAACCCUUGUUGUCAGUUACUAACAGGUUCUGCUGAGGACUCUGACAAGACUGCCAUCGUAAGAUGUGAGGAAGGUGGGGAUGACGUCAAAUCAGCACGGCCCUUACGUCCGGGGCUACACACGUGUUACAAUGGGGGGUACAGAGGACCGCUACCACGCGAGUGGAUGCCAAUCCCCAAAACCUCUCUCAGUUCGGACUGGAGUCUGCAACCCGACUCCACGAAGCUGGAUUCGCUAGUAAUCGCGCAUCAGCCACGGCGCGGUGAAUACGUUCCCGGGCCUUGCACACACCGCCCGU
rnacentral:rRNA from 1 species